rnacentral:piRNA from 1 species
UAAACAUAACUUCAGUUCUUU